rnacentral:siRNA from 1 species
CCAUGUUUUAUUUUCAGGGAUUGC